UGUGCCCUCCUUGGGCAGGGCCAAUAGGGAGGGAGGCUGAACCAGCCUCCUGCUUCCAGCAGCGCCCUGGGCUACAGGCCAUUACUGCCCCCCCCACAAGAAUCGGGGCUCCAAGGUCUUAGAGCAGGGAGCCGGCGAACCCAGCUAGGCCCCAGCUGACUGCUGGAAGGGCCCACGGAGACCCUCCCAGCAAACUGAGUCUCAGAGAAGAGGGGCACGUCCUGUGCUAAGAAAGGCGCGGGGCCUCAGCGGGGUCUCCACCACCGAGGUCCCGGGAGUCCUGGGAAUCACUAAGAACUCAUCCCUCCGGCCGGAGACGCAGCCUUCCCAAGCUUCAAAUGAGCGGGAAGGGGCCAGAGAGGGAAACCGAGGCUCCUUACAAGGGGUGAGGGCUCCGCGGAGAGGGGGAUCCCAGCUCCGACCUCGAUCCCCGGGUCCGAGGAUUUCCUCGGCUUCAGGGCCAAACCCCUAAGCAGGCUCCCUCAGCGUCUCGCUCCGCGCGCCUAGCCCCCCCUCCCCCAACCCCCUGGCGGACAAGGCACGUGUUUGACAAAUGGCCCUUCGCUCCUUUCCGCCGGCGACGAUCCUCCUGGCCACACGGUGGCACUAGAGGCCUCCCUGGCACCCGGCCCAGAUGAGGGCGUCGGAGCAUGUACUUUACCAAGAGCCCCUCCCGGGGCCUACGUUUGUUACAAGGAUGACGACAAGACAGCUCAGAUGGGGGACGGGUGGGGGAGGGAGGGAGCAGCAGCAGCUCCCUUGCUUUCAUCAGCGUUGGCUAAAGGAAUGAAUGAAGGCGCUGCCGGUGGGUGACAGAAGGGACCCGCCAGGCUCCGGUCCUCUUUCCUCGCCUUUACAAAGGAGCCGACCGAACGUCGGGAGGCCCGGGUUCAAAUCUGCCCUCGGAGGCUGGAGUGCCCCGCCCCCUGCAGGGGCUUCCUGGAUGCCAAGCUGUGAGACCCUCGAGCUAGUGAAUUGGCCUCUCUGGGCCACCGUCACAGGGCAACACUGACCUCCGGGCGGGCGGGGAAGGCUGGGCGAGCCGCAGAGCUCUCCAGAGACGGCCCACAAGUUCACUGGCAUUAUCAUCAUCAUCGCCCGGGGGAGGGGGGCGGGGUAACUCUUAGGGGUGCCCAAUCGAAUCGGAUCCGUCUUCCUACCCCCCUCUCCCAACUCCUUUAGGCCUGGGACUGCGACUGCAUUUAUUAAGCGCCAGCCGGCCCCACGCAGAAGCCUGCCCUUACUAAGCCUCUACAGUAUGCAGGAAGAUGAGACCUUCAGAACUGAGCCAACUCCUACUGCCAAUCGCCUCCCCACCAGCCUGGGACGUGUAUUCUGCCCCUGCCAGCAACCCACACGUGAAUAAGCAACACACUCGUGGGAAUGUGCUGUAAGAGGCCUGGAGUGGAAUUUCAGGGGAGGAUGCCUUCCCGCUGAAGAAAUCUGGGAAGGUUUCCUGGAAGAGGAGGCUUAAAGGAAGGAUAGAAUUUCCAGAGGAAGCAUUUGUUUACUUUGAGCUGAGGGGAGACUCAUCACCUGAUAUCACAGUACUCGAUGCGUCCCUGAAAAACAGAGAGGAAGAAGAUGAGGAGGAGGAGGAGGAAGGGCGCAGUACCGAGGGAGGCAAGCAGGCAGCACAGUGCAGGUCAGCGCCCGGCUUGCAACGCACUGACCUGCCCCCACACAAACACACACUGCCCGGGCCCGGGGCCACUGGCUGGGCAGGGGCCCGGGGUACGGGAGGGGCAGCCGCUCACCUUUCGGAUCCGCCGCUUGAUGAUGGAUUCGGCCGCAAACACCCGCUCUCCCACUGCAGACAGCUCCAUCUUGUUCAGCAGCGCCCACAGCCCAUAAUACUUGAGCUCCCUCCUCCCGCGGCGGCUGCUGCACCGCUCGCGCACGCGCGCCCCGAGCACCCAGACUUAGACACGCUCCAGCCCCGGGCCCCCGCCGCUCUCCGGCUCGCCUUCAGUGGCUCGCGCUGCCGCGCGGGCACCACGUGACUGGCACCGUUACCAGGGCCUACACCUCCCCGGGGGCGGUUGCUAGGGAAAGGGAAGAGCGCGCGCUGGCUCUUAAAGGGACCCCGCCCCCGAGAAGACUUGGAGAAGGGGGGAGGGAAGGAAGAGGGGGAGAGAGAGGGAGGGAGUAGAGAGGCAGGAAGACAGGAGGAGGGAGAGGGGCGGAGGGGAGGAGGGAGAGGAAGAGGACGGGGGUUGGGAAGUAGAACGGGAGGGAGCAAGAAGAGAAAAAGGAGAAGAUGAAGAGGAGGCUAGAAGGAGGAAGAAAGGAGGAGACAGAUGUGGGAAGGAGGAUGGGAAGAGAAAGAAAAGCAGGGAAGGAGGAGAGAGCAAGAAAGGAUGAGGGAGGGGAAGAGAAGGAAGGAAGAAGAGGGAAGAAAAGGAAAAGAGGGAACCAAGAGGAAAGAAGGAAGGG